rnacentral:rRNA from 1 species
UGGGGAAUAUUGCACAAUGGGCGCAAGCCUGAUGCAGCGACGCCGCGUGAGGGAUGACGGCCUUCGGGUUGUAAACCUCUUUCAGUAGGGACGAAGCGAAAGUGACGGUACCUACAGAAGAAGGACCGGCCAACUACGUGCCAGCAGCCGCGGUAAUACGUAGGGUCCGAGCGUUGUCCGGAAUUACUGGGCGUAAAGAGCUCGUAGGUGGUUUGUCGCGUUGUUCGUGAAAACUCACAGCUUAACUGUGGGCGUGCGGGCGAUACGGGCAGACUAGAGUACUGCAGGGGAGACUGGAAUUCCUGGUGUAGCGGUGGAAUGCGCAGAUAUCAGGAGGAACACCGGUGGCGAAGGCGGGUCUCUGGGCAGUAACUGACGCUGAGGAGCGAAAGCGUGGGUAGCGAACA